CUUCUCGUACAUACGUUAUUCUAGGUUUAGUUUUCCCCCUUUUUCUUGACGGAAAACUCAAACCUCCAAACUCCGGCGAACGUCGCCAAGUGUUCCCCAAGUUCCAGACGCUCCGACGUUAUCUCCGGGACUUCGUCUCCACCAGAAAUUAACAGAGCGGUCAUGAACCGGAGCCGAGCCGGAGAAGUACACGCAACAGACGCGCACCCGGAUGGCUGAACGAUUUUGAUUUGGGCAGGGUUUAAAUCAUCGUGAUUUCCCUAAAUCCCCAAUUCUUAUAUUUAUAUUUAUUUUAUUAAAGAAACCCCCAGUAGUUUUUAAUUUUACAAAAUGUGUAAUGGGUAUAAAAACAUGAUUGCUGGAUGAAAUAAAGACUUAUCAAAUUCCUAAUUCUUAAACUCCAUCCUUUCACAUUCCUCUCCAAAUUAUUCACUCUCCGGCUAAUCUCGCCGAGUACCUUCAUCUCCAC
rnacentral:lncRNA from 1 species